AUUGAACGCUGGCGGCAGGCCUAACACAUGCAAGUCGAGCGGAUGAAGGGAGCUUGCUCCUGGAUUCAGCGGCGGACGGGUGAGUAAUGCCUAGGAAUCUGCCUGGUAGUGGGGGAUAACGUCCGGAAACGGGCGCUAAUACCGCAUACGUCCUGAGGGCGAAAGUGGGGGAGCUUCGGACCUCACGCUAUCAGAUGAGCCUAGGUCGGAUUAGCUAGUUGGUGGGGUAAAGGCCUACCAAGGCGACGAUCCGUAACUGGUCUGAGAGGAUGAUCAGUCACACUGGAACUGAGACACGGUCCAGACUCCUACGGGAGGCAGCAGUGGGGAAUAUUGGACAAUGGGCGAAAGCCUGAUCCAGCCAUGCCGCGUGUGUGAAGAAGGUCUUCGGAUUGUAAAGCACUUUUGGUUGGGAGGAAGGGCAGUAAGUUAAUACCUUGCUGUUUUGACGUUACCAACAGAAUAAGCACCGGCUAACUUCGUG
rnacentral:rRNA from 1 species